rnacentral:pre_miRNA from 1 species
CUAGCACUCCCUUCGUCCGGAAAUACUUGUCGGAGAAAUGAAUGUAUCCAGAUGUAUUUUAGUUCUAGAUACAUUCAUUUUUAUGCAUUUCUUCGACAAGUAUUUUCGGACGGAGGGAGUACAAA